UGACGGUACCCUGUGAGGAAGCCCCGGCUAACUACGUGCCAGCAGCCGCGGUAAUACGUAGGGGGCUAGCGUUAUCCGGAUUUACUGGGCGUAAAGGGUGCGUAGGUGGUCUUUCAAGUCGGUGGUUAAAGGCUACGGCUCAACCGUAGUAAGCCUCCGAAACUGUUAGACUUGAGUGCAGGAGAGGAAAGUGGAAUUCCCAGUGUAGCGGUGAAAUGCGUAGAUAUUGGGAGGAACACCAGUAGCGAAGGCGGCUUUCUGGACUGCAACUGACACUGAGGCACGAAAGCGUGGGUAGCAAACAGGAUUAGAUACCCUG
rnacentral:rRNA from 1 species